rnacentral:rRNA from 1 species
ACGAACCGUGCGAACGUUAUUCGGAAUCACUGGGCUUAAAGCGCGUGUAGGCGGGCAGGCGCGUCGUACGCUGAAAGCCUCCGGCUCAACCGGAGAAUCGGCGGCGAUACGGCCGGCCUUGAGGAACGCAGGGGAACCUGGAACUUCCGGUGGAGCGGUGAUAUGCGUUGAGAUCGGAAGGAACGCCCGUGGCGAAAGCGAGGUUCUGGACGUUUACUGACGCUGAGACGCGAAAGCCAGGGGAGCAAACGGGA